rnacentral:rRNA from 1 species
UACGGGGGGAGCAAGCGUUGUUCGGAUUUACUGGGCGUAAAGGGCGCGUAGGCGGCCUCUGCAAGUCGACUGUGAAAUCUCCGGGCUUAACCCGGAAAGGUCAGCCGAUACUGCAGGGCUAGAGUGCAGAAGGGGCAACUGGAAUUCUCGGUGUAGCGGUGAAAUGCGUGGAUAUCGAGAGGAACACCUGCGGCGAAGGCGGGUUGCUGGGCUGACACUGACGCUGACAGCGCGAAAGCUAGGGGGAGCGAAUGGG